rnacentral:rRNA from 1 species
CAAGUCGAUAAGUAGUCAUAUGCUUGUCUUAAAGAUUAAGCCAUGCAUGUUUAAGUUCAUACCUUUGAAUAGUGAAACCGCGAAUGGCUCAUUAAAUCAGUUAUAAUUUCAUGGCAUGUGUUUUGUUAAUUGGAUAACUGUGGUAAUUCUAAAGCUAAUAUAUGCAUAUACGUUCAACUUCGGUUAAAUGUGCUUUUAUUAGUGCAAACCAUGUCGUAAGGCUAUAGGUGGUGACUCUAAAUAACUUUGCCGAGCAUUUCGGCCUUGUGUCGGUGCUAUUCCUUCAAAGUAUCUGUUCUAUCAACUGUCGAUGGUAUAUUAUAUGUUUACCAUGGUUGUAACGGGUAACGGGGAAUUAGGAUUUGAUUCCGGAGAGGGAGCCUGAGAAACGGCUACCACAUCUAAGGAAGACAGCAGGCGCGCAAAUUACCCAAUCCCGGCUCGGGGAGGUAGUGACAAAAAAUAACAAUGCGGGUCUUAAAUGAGGUUUCGUAAUUGGAAUGAGUACAUUCUAAAUCCUUUAACGAGGAACUAUUGGAGGGCAAGUCUAGUGCCAGCAGCCGCGGUAAUUCCAGCUCCAAUAGCGUAUAUUAAAAUUGUUGCGUGUUAAAAAGCUCGUAGUUUGAAAACUUGCCUUGACUUGCAAUAGGUCCACAUGGGCCACCGUUUGUCGAGCGCAAAUAUGGAUGACUGUUUUUGCCGGCUUAUUGUUUGGCUUAUAAGAGUUAUCAAAUAUCACUUUGAUUAUGUUCAGUAUUCUCAUAGCAGCAUAAGGUUCCCGUCCUUGUAUUGGCUACUUAUUUACCCUCAGCAACUCUUAACCGAUAAAGAAAAGCUCUCUUUCUAUUUGAAUAAAAUAUAAACAAAUAUAUUUUAUAUACUCAGGAAGAGCUGUACCAGAGACAACAUGAGCCUUUACGUGUUUUUUGGUACUAACAAAUGCUCGCCAGGAUCAGUAUUAUAUAUAUAUAUAUAUAUAUACAUACAUGUGCGUGUAUACACAUGCUCAUGCGAUAGUAAUUGUUCUAACAAGCAUCCGGAGAGAAUAGUGGUAGUGGCUGUGCCCCAUAAUUGGCCACAACCGAGUCGGACGGAUC